AUUGAACGCUGGCGGCAUGCCUUACACAUGCAAGUCGAACGGCAGCACGGGUGCUUGCACCUGGUGGCGAGUGGCGAACGGGUGAGUAAUACAUCGGAACGUACCUUAUCGUGGGGGAUAACGCAGCGAAAGUUGCGCUAAUACCGCAUACGCCCUGAGGGGGAAAGCGGGGGACCGUAAGGCCUCGCGCGAUUAGAGCGGCCGAUGUCUGAUUAGCUUGUUGGUGAGGUAAAAGCUCACCAAGGCGAUGAUCAGUAGCUGGUCUGAGAGGACGAUCAGCCACACUGGGACUGAGACACGGCCCAGACUCCUACGGGAGGCAGCAGUGGGGAAUUUUGGACAAUGGGGGCAACCCUAAUCCAGCAAUGCCGCGUGAGUGAAGAAGGCCUUCGGGUUGUAAAGCUCUUUUGUCAGGGAAGAAACAGCAGCUCUAACACAGUCUGCGGAUGACGGUACCUGAAGAAUAAGCACCGGCUAACUACGUGCCAGCCGCCGCCGUAA
rnacentral:rRNA from 1 species